rnacentral:lncRNA from 1 species
AUGGUACGGCCUCCCCCUCCUCCCCCCCCCCCGUCUCCCCACACGGUACGGCCUCCCCCUCCUCCCCCACCCCCCAUCUCCUCCACACGGUACGGCCUCCCCCUCCUCUCCCCCCCAUGGUACGGCCUCCCCCUCCCUCCCUAUCCCUCCCUCCCCCUCCCGUCUCCCCCACGCAGCACACAGCAGGUCCUCCCCGCCUCACCGAGGGCUACGCGAGAGCGUCAGGGAAGAGGACGAGCGGGUGCGUGGGUCCACCAGCAGGCACCCCCCACCCGCCCCGGGCCGGGCACCGCCCUGACCUCCACCCCGUCGGGCCGGGCUCCGGGAGCCGCUCAGGCGGCGGGCCCCCUGCCCCGCCCCCCCCACGUCACCUCUGGCCAGUGGCCCUGGGACCCUCCGACCGGAAGUGCGUGGCGCCCACGUGGCCCGGGCGCGACCGGAAGGACGGAGGGACGGCAAGGCCUCCGCGGGGGGCGCGGCGGGGCCGGUGAGGCGGCAGGGCUGCGGGGCCCUGGGGCCCGGCCGAGCGCCGCCGGGGGCCCGUCGGUCAGCAGCGAGGCGGCGCGGCGUCGGGUGGGCCAACGGGGCCCGCGGGGCGAGCGCGGACACGGACGGCGUCGGCCUCAGCCGCCACCCAGCAGCCUGCGGCCCCGAGGCGCAGGCGCAGCCCCAAGGCACAGGCGCAGGAAGGCGGCCCCAGGGCGCAGACGCGGGCGCAGGGGGCCGCGGCGGGGGGCGCGGGGGGGCUACCCCAGGGCGCAGGCGCGGGCUCGGGACAGCAGCCCCUGGGAGCAGCGCGGGGCACGCGGGGCCGCACAGGGCCGCGGCCGCAGGACCCCUCGGCCCUCAGUGUCCGGGAGAGCACGCGCAGAGGUGGGAAGCGUCCCGCGAGCUGUGGCCGCGGACGGAGAGAACGACCCUGACCGCGAACCGUACGGGCUCUGCUGCGGGGCGGAGGAGCCUGCUCUGGGCGUGCGAGGCUGCGACGGCCACACAGCCGUUGGCGUCCACGGGACAGCUUACGGAACGCUCGGAGUUUUAGGCCUUAAAAGGAUGAGCUUCAUAGGUUACCGGAUCUCCGCGUUUACAAGAUUCGACCAUGAAGAAACGAUCCGAUUAGAAAACGGCACAAGGCACGAAGAGAUGCGGCAACGUGGGGAACGCGGGGCGGCGGGUGGAGACACAGAGCCAGGCCGCGAAGGAGCGCGCCCACCACGACGGGGCUUCUCCGGACCCCUGGGGGCGACAGCAAACACCGCUGCUGGGGAAGGGGAAGAGGAGGAGGAGGAGGAGAGGAGGAGCCGGCCGCUGUGCCCGCUGCUGGGAAUGUGGGACGGGACCGCGCUCCGGAGGAGCCUGGCAGGGUCGCAGAAAACGAAGCGUGCAACUCACCUGUGA